UACGUAGGGGGCAAGCGUUGUCCGGAUUUAUUGGGCGUAAAGAGCGUGUAGGCGGCUUGACAAGUCUGCUGUGAAAACUCGAGGCUCAACCUCGAGAUGUCGGCGGAAACUGUCUGGCUAGAGUCCGGAAGAGGAGAGUGGAAUUCCUGGUGUAGCGGUGAAAUGCGCAGAUAUCGGGAAGAACACCCGUGGCGAAGGCGGCUCUCUGGGACGGUACUGACGCUGAGACGCGAAAGCGUGGGGAGCGAACAGG
rnacentral:rRNA from 1 species